rnacentral:rRNA from 1 species
UACGUAGGGCGCAAGCGUUGUUCGGAAUUACUGGGCGUAAAGGGCUCGUAGGCGGCCAACUAAGUCAGACGUGAAAAUCCCUCGGCUUAACCGGGGAACUGCGUCUGAUACUGGAUGGCUUGAGGUUGGGAGAGGGAUGCGGAAUUCCAGGUGUAGCGGUGAAAUGCGUAGAUAUCUGGAGGAACACCGGUGGCGAAGGCGGCAUCCUGGACCAAUUCUGACGCUGAGGAGCGAAAGCCAGGGGAGCAAACAGG